AACCAGCUCUGCUUGAAUUAGACGCAGCUGACUCCAAGUUCCUGGAAAGUAACUUGAGCAAACAUGAUGUUGCUUAGGCUACAUAUUAUUGCUGAAGCUCCAAUACUUUGGCCACUUGAUGCAAAGAGCUGACUCAUUGGAAAAGACCCUGAUGCUGGGAAAGAUUGAGGGUGGGGGCAGGGCGACUGAGGAUGAGAUGGUUGGAUGGCAUCACUGACUCAAUGGACAGGAGUGUGAGCAAGCUCCAGGAGAUGGUAAAGGGCAGGGAGGCCUGGUGUGCUGCAGUCCAUGGGGCCACACAGAGUCAGACAUGACUAAGCGACUGAACAACUAAAACAAGCCUACAUGUGCUUGGAGGGCAUUGCAAGUCUUAAAACAAUCUCAGUGAAGGCAGGUGAAAUGAGUUUAACCCAUGGUUUCAGUGGCAAGGGCUAUACAGUACAGCUGAAGGAUUUAAGCAAGGCAAAUAAGGUAAUAAGAUUACCGUUAAAAAUGAUGCUUGUAGCUGUGCUGUGGAUUGAAGGACUGCUGCUGCUGCUGUUGCUAGGUUGCUUCAGUCGUGUCCGACUUUGUGCGACCCCAUAAAUGGCAGCCCGCCAGGCUCCCCCGUCCCUGGGAUUCUCCAGGCGAGUAACACUGGGGUGGGUUGCCAUUUCCUUCUCCAAUGCAUGAAAGUGAAAAGUGAAAGUGAAUUCGCUCGUGUCCAGCUCUUCAAGACCCCAUGGACUGCAGCCUACCAGGCUACUCUGUCCAUGGGAUUUUCCAGGCAAGAGUACUGGAGUGGGGUGCCAUUGCCUUCUCCGAUGGAAGGACUGGAGAGAAGCAAAGGGCAAUCCCCUGGAGGAGGACCCACUUCACUUACCAUCCUUGCCGGGAAUCCCAUGACAAAGGUGCCUGGUGGGCGAUGGUCCAUAUGGUCACGAAGUCAGACAACAGCUGAAGUGACAGCACGCGUGCAUUCCUUUGGAAGAAAUAGCUGUGACAUAGGCCCUUUCAACCACAUGGUCUGCACAGUCCACGGAUCUUGCGGACUUUGUUUUUGGUCUGAUGACAGAUCCUCAAGAGGAGCCGUUGGAGAACAGAGAGUCUUUCCCGCAACCCAGCCCUCUCUGGACACCUUGAGCUCACCCUGCUGCCGCAUGCCGCUUCCUGCACUGUCACCCUCCCUUCCUCACAGCAGGUAAAAGUCACUUUGUACUUCGUGUAUUUCUGAGCAACCGAACGACAACAGACUAUAAAAGGACUCCAUCUCUGGCCCUUUGCUUGAGAGCAGUGGGACCUGUUGAAGUGUUCUGUGCAACAUCAUGGACAAUCGCAUUCCACUUUUUUUGUCUACCCCACUUUUCAAACAAUGCUUAGAACUUCUGUGCCAGGAACACCCUGGAGCAGAGCUGUGACCCAGGCUGUCAGCUGUUUCACCGGGAAGCACACCAGGCCUGGACUCAGAUGGCCUGAAUUUCUUUUGAGGCUCACUCUUGCGGUUGCCAGCUGAGUGACACAGUCCCUUUCCCUUGUGCCUCAGUCUCCUCACCUGUGAAAUGAAUAAAAUAGAAUGUGCCCA
ensembl:lncRNA